rnacentral:tRNA from 1 species
AGCAGCGUGGCUUAGUGUAAAGAGCACUGGUUUGGGAGUCAGAGGUCGUGGGUUCUAAUCCCGGCUUUGCCA